UACGAAGGGGGCUAGCGUUGCUCGGAAUUACUGGGCGUAAAGCGCACGUAGGCGGCUUUCUAAGUCGGGGUGAAAUCCUGGAGCUCAACUCCAGAACUGCCUUCGAUACUGGAGCUUGAGUCGGAGAGGUGAGUGGAACUGCGAGUGUAGAGGUGAAAUUCGUAGAUAUUCGCAAGAACACCAGUGGCGAAGGCGGCUCACUGGCCCGGUACUGACGCUGAGGUGCGAAAGCG
rnacentral:rRNA from 1 species